CGCACCCUGACCGAAAGCGGUUGAGCAGUGGGCACCUGCGCCCUCUGUGACACUUGGGGCCUCCUGAGUUCCUGGAGCGAGUUGGGGCCAUGACGGGAGAGGCCUGGGCAAGGCACGCAGAUGCCCUCAGCAAGUUCGUUUUGAGUGGAGGAGCUUGGGGAGAAUUUUUAUCCCUGACUCACGUGAGCGUCUCAUUCUUGUUUUCUUCUUUUUAUAGGCACCAGUUUGUAGAAAAUAACUUAAUACUAAAGAUGGGUCCCGUAGAUAAGCGAAAGGGCUUGUUUGCACGACGACGACAGUUACUGCUCACAGAAGGGCCACACUUGUAUUAUGUGGAUCCUGUCAACAAAGUCCUCAAAGGCGAAAUUCCAUGGUCGCAAGAACUCCGACCAGAGGCCAAGAACUUUAAAACCUUCUUUGUGCACACACCGAACAGGACGUAUUACCUGAUGGACCCAAGUGGGAACGCUCACAAAUGGUGCAAAAAGAUCCAGGAAGUGUGGAGACACAGAUACCAGAGCCACCCGGAUGCCGCCGUGCAGUGACAGGUCUGCGGCUGCCGCAGUCGCUGCCAGGACACUUGCCCCAGCGCGGCUCACCGCCCUCCGGGACGCUUCCAGACCACCUGCCAGCCAUCUCAAGGGGGACGCAGACGGCAGAACCUUGCAGCUUUUUUAUUUAAAAGAAAAGAAGAAAAAAAUACCCAACCACACAAAGAACAAAACCAAUAACGAAAAGGAAUUCAGGGUCGCUUUGCUUGCUCUCUGUGCUCUGUGGAGGCUCCCCAAGCUCUCCUUGUUUUGGGGACCCAGCGCCGUGCACGUCCACCUGAUUCCCGCCCGGGCGAGUGGAACAGACUCGAGUCACCAGCUCUGCACCACACGCCCUGGUCAUGCACCGGCCGGUCCUCCUGUGGCCGAGGGGAUGGGGUGUGUGUCUGGGCUCUUCCUGCCCCUAGGUUAUCACAGAACCCGUCGGCAGGGAGCCAUGCACGCCUCUGCCAGGGUGGCUUCGAUCUCUGGCGGGUGGGAGGGUUCUUGGCUUUGGUCUGUGUACUUCUUUUCUUGUGUCCCUUACUUGAUGCCCCUUUGCCCUGCCAGGGCCCCUGCUUGCCUUCUUGCAUUGCUCUGGCUGUGAGCACUCCAUGGCUUGUGUUCGUUGGGCAGGCUCCAGGUGCGGAGAUGUGGAGCGGGCUGUCGGGGUGUGCUAUGGAGCCGCUGCUGAGGUUGAAGGGUGCCAGCAGGCCGUUCGCAUUGAACGUCCCUCUGAGCGGGGUUGGCCCUGUGGAGCUCGAAAGAAGCACAGGUCUGAAAAGAGCACUGUCAGAGGUGGGCACCCAGUUGCGCCAGGAGACAGGGAAGGCUGUGCCCUGCUCUGGGCACGAGGCCAGGGCAGCAGGGCAGACUGGGCCUGGCGUCCCCCACGUGGGGGAGUGCUGCCUGAUGAGCCCCUCCUGAGAGUUUGGUCCGAGGGUGGAACAUGCAGGCCCCCCGGCGCAGUUUGCUAGGGCUGAGGGUCUCUGGGCACCAGCGGUCUCCCAGCUGUGACACGCACCCCUUUCGUGGUGAGGGAACGUUCUUGUAGCCUGACUUCCAGCACGUUCACAUCUCCACAGUGAAAGUCUGAAAGCCUUCUCAUGCUGCCAGGUCAUUUAUCCCCAUCAAGAUGUGGACCUUGCCAGGAAGAAAAUGUUGCUCACCUUGCAUGAGGGGUAGGAACACCACACUGGAGUCUGAGCGCCCAGCCUGCUCGCCCCCUGCGCUUUCAGCCUGCCUGCCUUUCUCUUUUCAGAGGCAGCACAGUGCUGCAUACCUACCGCAGGGGGUCCACGAUUUACUGGUCCUUUGAUUUCUUUGCUGCUGCUCCCUGGACAGAGAAAGCCUGUGGGCCUGGUGGGGCUCGGAGCUCCUCUCCCUGCCCGUGUCCCUUGAGGGCAGUCCGCAGCCCCAGGUGGGCGGGGUAGAGGCACUGCUGCCUGCAGGCUGCUCACAGACUCAUAUCUGUCCCCAGGGGAUGAACAACUUUGCCGUUUCCUGGAGACUUUCACGAAGGCACCAGUAGAAGGCUCACACAGGAGAGGUCCCCCCUGACCACUCUGCCCCCAUCUCCUGUCUUGAACAAAGCAUCCGUCACCCCGUGUUGACGAGUGGUCCAAAUCGGAGAAAAGAUGUCUUUCUCAAAUGGGUUUAGUGAUAUGAGUGGCCCUUGUGUCAACCCGGUGAGGGGAGUGUGGCUGUGGAGCUGCCCCUGCUGGGCCGUGCAGGGGGCCGGACAGGAGCGGAGGUGGGGCAGGGAGUGCCGGCGGCUUCCUUUUGGGUCUUGUGCACUGCUGUAUGAGAGCUGCGCGUGCAUGAGUGAGCGAGGGUGCGUGUGCGCGCGUGCCCAUGCCAGGGCGGGUGCCAAGCUGUGGGGGGCGUGCCUGCCCUUGGGGCACCCAGGGGAGUGGGAUGCUGCUGGGGUCAGGGUCAUAGGUCACGCUUCCCUCUUCCUUCUCCUCGCUUUUGAAGAGGCUUGCCUGUGUUCACCUGCUUUUCAAAAAUUAAGUCUCUCUGGGCCUUCAGGAAUGUCAUUUCCAGCUUACUCCCCGUGUUGAUCAUUUAACCUUUCUUAGAACACCCGCGUCUGUGGGCGUGCUGUUUGGAGAGUUGGGGGCUGCUCUUGCACAGUGUUCUUCCUUGGGUCCGGUUAUGGGGAAACAAGCAGGGCUGGCGUUUGGCUCUCACAAGAGCGCUCGGCUGGGCUGCUCCGGGAGAGACGCAGCGUCUGCUGCAUUCCUCUCUGGACAGCGCCACUACCUCCUGGGCUUCACCCGCCAGCUCCAUCGUAACCUCCGGAACCAGAGAAUGAGGGGUUCAGGGUUCAGCUCGCAGCUGACAGAGUUGAAGUGACUGCCCUUGCCUGAGCCAGUGACAGCUGAGCCCUUCUCCCUUCGCCACCUUUCUCCUCUCAGAGCCUUCUUCCCCCCUCCUCUUUUUUUUUAAGGCACAUACAUGUUCUUUUCCUACCCUGUGCUUGUCCAUGUCGGCUUUCGUUGUAUGCAGCUUGUCCUUAGAGUGCCUGUCCCCGGUGCAGGUGCCUUGCCUUCUAAGAUGUGGGCAUGGCUGUCAAUCGAGUAUGUACCAGACAUACAUGGAAGUACAGGUGAUUUAUCCACACUGAGAAAGAAAGUGCUCUGUUGACUAGAUUCAGGAGCCAUGUGUCUUAGUGAGGGCCAGGAGAAGGUUCAGUGCCAACCACAUAGCCGGCACGCAGAGCUGGUCCCAUACCAUGUGGCCUCGCUGGGCAUGGAGGGGAGGGAGUGGGGCUGUGGCCUCCACAGGCUCAGGUGGCCCACUGCGCCUUGCCCCUCUCUGGGAACUCCAGGAAGCCAGGCUUGGGUGGGGCUGUUUCCUUCCCUCUUUCUGUGGACCUGACCAGGACAGUGGGCGAUGGGUCGUGUAGCAGGUGGCCCCGUGGGGUGCACAAAGGCACUGCACCUGCUGUUCUGAACCUUGGCUCUCAGGAGUGUUACAGACCUGCUUUGCGGGAGAUGCCUCUCGCGGGUGUGCCGGAGCUGGUGGGCCCCGCACGUUCUCCAGGCCCUUACUGCCGCCCUGUGGUAUUUGUGGCCGAGGCCUGUAGGCAUUGCAGGAGUCGCCCCGUGGCACAAACUCACCGAGGGCCAGGUGCCAGCCCAGGGGCUCCAGGUGGUUCUGUACUUUCUUAAAACAUUUGCUUUCUGAGAACAUCAGCUGUAGGCUUACCACCCAGAAGAGACCACUGUGAACAUUUUGGUGUAUAACCCCCCCACCCCCCAUGCACAUAUUUGUUUGCUUUUUAAACUGAAGUGGGAACAUGAAACACACACUGUUCUGCAUCUAGCUUGUUUCACUUGAUAAUUUAUCUUAGGCAUUUUUCCACAUCAUGAACAAUGAUUAAAAACAUUGUUUUUAGUGAUUGUAGAGCUUAAUAUGGUUAUCAGUUUUAUCGUAACUUAUCUGACCAUUUUCCUGUUAUAAAACAUUUAGAUGGUUUCUGGUUUUUCACUAUUUAAAUAAUGCUGUGAUGAAUACCCUCGUAAAUCUUUGAUUUUGACUCUGAUCGCCCCCCACCCUUGGUUCCUAGAAGUAGUGUUUUGGGGUCACAAAGAGUUUGUUUUAAAGGUGGUAUUAGUCUCUCUUCCUGUCUUCAUCUGAGGCUUAGAUGCUCAGAGUUCCAGCACACAACCUCCUCAGUUGUCCUACAGAUUCUGGACAAAUCAGUUUCUGCUAAGGUGUGUGUUCCAAAGAAUGUUUUAAUAAGACUGCUCUUUUUUUUUCCCCCCACAAUGCUAAAAUAUCAUUUAUUGCAGUCCGUUUGUGACAGAUUUUUCCAAAAAUGCAUUUCCUUAUUUUCAUUGACAGAAUCUGGUUAUGCUUGCAUGUUAGUUACCUUCCCAUCCCUGCUGCUGUGGCUUUCACAUGCUUGGUGAUAUUUUCAGAAGCUUGUACUUUGUGUCCACAAUGGUACUGAAUUUGCAUCUGCACAGGCAGCAGAGAUAAAAAGUGUUGAACUGACCUUGCCACAUGCAUAGUGGAUGAUUUGUAAUUAAGUGUGUGUAGACUCCGAAAAUACAUUGGGCCAUUUGGAAUCAGUAAAAGAGCAAAAUGUCUACUUGAGAAAGAGACCAUGUAGGCAGUUGGGUUUAACAUAAGGUUAUUUGCCCCUGUGCUCUUCAAAUGGUGGCACUCAGUAGGAAGGUCUUAGCAGUUAGUAGAGCGCAGUGGCCAGGCCUUUUCACUGUAGAGGGUGAUUGUCCUGGCCCACGUGGCUUUCGGGACUCCUCCCCUGUCCUCCCUCACAGUGUUGCAGGUUGUCUGGCUGUCUUCAAACCCAGAACACCCAAUUUGGUUUCAUUCCUAAUUUCUCCACUUUAGUUUGGGGUCCAUUGAUUCUGAGAGGAGAGGUGUGUGAGAGAUUUUUUAGGUGCUGUGCUCAGUGUCACUUGAGUCUGCCAGAGAUUUUUGGCUGGAUUGUGGAGAAUUGGACUUCCUGCCCUCCUCUGACACCCCAGGUCCCCUGUCCCCUGUCCGGUCCACAGACAGGGUGCUCACUCCCCAGACCGCAGAGGCUGCAGCCGCUUGCCAGAAUAUGAUGCAGGUACUAUUCUUAGAGAUGUCGCCAUGUGCAUUUUUCCACAUUGUUUCUUUUCAUCCAAAGCUCACAUGAGCUGACAGUGACUCAGGUGGGUGUGGCCCUUCCCACUUAGGCAGCCUAUAUGGCAAGUGCCCUAAAUCAGGGCAGGAGUCACUUCCAGAGCUUCUGAGGGGGGCAGGCUGCUGGCCCAAGGUUGCGGAGUUGCAAAUCAGGCUGCCUGUGGAGAACUGGUUUGGGGAAGGAGCUGUUCCAGCCAAGAGCAGUUUUAUCUGUAGCUCGGACAGCUGUGAUGGGCAACUGAACUAGCCUACAUGUAUACCUGAAUUUUCCCCAGAACCCACUUUUUCAGUGUGAAGAGACACCAAACUUCGCGAACAGAGAACUUUUUACAAAAGGCAGACCUUUUUUUAGCGUGUGAUCCACCCUAGUCCCAACCAAUCUGGCAGAAUGAUUUUUGAAUAGGGGUCGUUUUGCUGGUGAAAAGCCUCUCUAUCCUUAUCAGAAGUUUGAUUGGACAUUGACAAAAAUAAAUUUUUGCAUUAUUUAGAACUGCUGUAGCUGUUCCUUAACACAAAAUCGGAUGAAUCAAUAGUAUGUUAGCUGUCUUUCAGGUUGGUGGCAGUCAGUUAGAACAUGUGUAAAAUUCUCUACCUGGUCUGUAGCUGUAACUGUGAUGUACAGGCAAAGCAAAAAUUUAAAACUUAUGAAAACAAAUAAUGCAAUGAUAUUAGGAUAUACACUUUUGUAUUUUUAUUCUUAUAUAAGGUUAUUUGCUGGCUAUUGUUGGCCUCUAGUUCAGUCUGUGUUAUUUAAAAUCUAAUAUAUGAAUUAUUUGGAUUGAAUUCAUGUUCGGGGCCACGUUGUUGUAUGUAUUGAUGUACAGCCUUGAAUGUGAAUAAUUAUUGUAAACUAUAUUUUACAACUUUUUUUCUGGCUUUAUUAUAUAAAUUUUCUAUUUGGUCAAUGAUUUAAUCAUAUAAUUUAAUGAAUCUGUUUCUUCUCUUUUUUUCAAAUAUUUGUGCUUUAGAUGUAGUUACUGGAUGAUGAAUUUUCCACGUAUGCUCGGUAGUCUUGUAAUAAAAAGCAUGUAGAGUGUA